GCGGCUUGGGUGGGGGUUGAGCAGGGAGCGGGCGCUGGAGGUGUGUUUGUAGGGAGAGGUGGCCGGGAGAGCCUGUGUGUGCGCGCACGGGGUGUGUGGGGACGAGCUGCGUGUCUGUUUCUCGCCGACUGUCCACCCGACACCAGCCCCUGCUUUUGGCGAGCCCGGCCACCUGGUGAAGUGAAACCCGCCACCACGCAAGCUCUCCGGCUGGCUGCGCCUCAGCUCCAGUGUAUGUGUUAAAUCAUGCCCAGCGUCAUAAAAAAUGGAGACAGCCAGGCUCCGUGUGAAAAACACAAUCCCCAAACAACCACAUGCUUAAAGAAGUUAGAAGAUGUCUCGUCCUCUCUGAGGCUCCAUGGGCGCUCUUCCCACCCAGACAGACGGGAGCCCCCAAAGUGAUUCCUGAAAUGGACAAAAAAGGAAACACACAGCCUUCUCAGCCAAGCCCAGUGCUGCUCGGAGGGGUGGGACGGUGGCGAGGGAAGCGUGAGGGGGAGCAACUUACAGACUGUCUUCCCAGGAAGAUUUCUUUUGCUUCCCACUUCUCCCUAUUCACAUGCUAUGGAGUUGAAGUCCCAACUUAAGGUGCCGUUUUGCCCAGGAGAUGUGAGUAUGCUUUUUCUUAUCUGCAACACCCCAUCCCACCUAAAUAUUAGCAGGGGAACCCUGGGGCAGAGUCUGGCACUUAAUAAACACUUAAAUUGAAUGAACAGGUCUUCAUCCAAUAGCAUUAGCUCAACACACCGCCCAUGAAUUUAACACACACGUACUGAGCACGCACGAGUUUCUGUGCUGGACAUCUGGUGGUGAGCAAGGCGGGCACGGGCCCUGCCUCCUCAGACCCCUGCACUGGUGUCAGGCUACUAAACCUCAUUGUAAGUCACUGAAGCCUGAGGGGUGAGAAGCUAGAUUUGCAAAUUCUCAAAAUGAUCUCAGGUAGAUGUAUUAUCAUUUCUCAGAUGAAGAGUUGGAGGCGAGUGUCCCACAGCUGGGGCAGUGACAAAGCUAGCGUGUGUGAUGGGGUGUGGCUGACGGCCAGGGGAUCAUAGGCAGGAGGUACCUGGGCCAGCCCGAGGGGCCAGGGAAGAUGUGCUGGAGGAGAUGACAUCUAAGCUGAGUGUGGAAAGAGGACAAGGAAGCAGCCAAAUGACCGAGGGGGUGAAGUGGACACCAGACAGCCAAGACAGCAGGGUGUAGUGAGCUCAGGGGGUGCCCAGAGUUCGAGGCCAGAGGCAGGCACGCUAAGGGCUGGGAAACAUGCUGCGGAGCUGGGCUCCAGCCUGCAGGCCGCAGGGGCCGCCCGAGGGCCCAGACACACGCAGAUGCAGUCAGAUGCAGUUAGAUCGGUGCUUGGAAACCUCUCCAGCCAGCAGUGUGGAGGAUGGAUUUGAGGAGGACCAGAUGGGAAGCAGGGGGACCAAUUAGCAGGAAAGAGAGGAUGAGGGGCUCAGCUAGGGCCGUGGAGCUGGGCAUAGAGAGAGGGGCGUGAGAGGAAUAUGCUGGAGACAAACGUGAUCAGGACUCUGACUGGUUGGAUGGAGCAGCCCGGAGGGUUUCAGGUCAGGCUGUGCUGCCCAGCCAGGUGACCAUGCCCGACUGGGGGAAGGCAAGCAGAGCGGCUGGGGUGCAAGUGCAGCCUUCCUGGAGAGAGGGGUGGGCACAGUUCCCUCUCAGGCCCCUUUCCAGACAGAGCUGUGUAUGCUGGGCUGGAGGAAGCUGUCUGUGGGGACAUCUGAGACCUUCAAGCAAUGCUGACCCUAGGACAUAGACAGGGCAUCCUAAGACAGACUCAACACUUCCUGUGGUUGGAGGGGAGUAAGUUUCCAAAAUAAGGCUGAACAGUAUAGAGGCGGAUAGAACUGCUGAUCGCCUGCGAGAUAAGAGGAGAGGAAACUCCUGGUCUCAUCCCCUGCCAUCUCCUCUCCACCCCCUUAUCGCCCCCUACCAAGCAUGUGUGUGUGCACACACACACACACACACACACACACACACACACACGCUUUAUCAUCCCUCAACUUCCCACCUCCCCCAGCGCACCAGCCCUUUCACACUCCCUCUUUGUGCCGGCUGUUCUCUGCCUGCAGUCGGUCCUCCUCCUCCACUGGGCAGAUGUCCCCCUCCUUCCAGCCCAGCCCAGAUGCCAGUCCUCUCUGACGCCCAGCCCACUGCCCCAGGCGUCCUCACUGCGCCUCCCCCUCCUGGUGACUUCCUCCGAGGUCUUCCUUCAUCACCAGCCUGAGCUCCUGAGUCUCAUCUGUCUUGGCUUCUGUGGCAGCCGCACAAGGUCUGACCAUCGCUGGUGCUCAGAAAUGCUUGUGGGAUGAAUGAGCACGUCCCUGGAGGGGGGCCGGGCACACCUUCCCCAGCCCUGUCCCAAGGCCUUCGCAUCGUGAAGGAGGACCAUCUCUGCCCUCCGGAUGCUCCUGUGUCGCAUGGGAAAUAAGCCCACACACGAGAGAAAGAGCCGUAAAAGCAGUGCCUGCGUCCGUCCUCAGUUCUGCGUCCGUCCUCAGGUCUAUUAUUUCUCUGCAGUCCGCCUUAAUUUUAUCCCCAUUUUACAGAUGAGGGCUCCACCUUUGGGGAAAGCAACCGCUCUUUUGGGCUGAAGAUCAUUUUGGGGCAAAAUGAAUAGAUGAAGGAGACCAUUUGGGGUUCUGCCCUUAACUGAGAUUCCCCAGGCUGAGCACAGCUGGCUGAGCACAGCUGGCUGGCUCAGGUGAAGGCCCCAGAGAGCAGGGCGUUGGUCAUUUGCCAGGUGGUCUGCGCAGUCCCUCUGGGUUUCUGACUGGCUUCUGGGGCAGGAGGGGACUGACCAUUGUGACCAGCUAGUCAGCCUCCUGGGCACCUUUCCUGCCUCCCUCAGGCUGGGCGCCUCCAUCUGGCAAAGGUGGUGCUCACAGCAGGGAAAAGACGAGGGCCAGGUGGGACUGGAGCCACUGUUGUCAUCUCGUCAUCGUUGUCAUCACCACGAAUUAAUGACACCACCAGUGACACCAUGACAACAAGCCCUGGCGUUAUGUGCCACGCACUGCGCUGAGGCCUUACACGCAUCCCUAUUUUUCAGUCCUUACGGCACUUCUGUGAAACAGAUACUGUCUCCAUGUGUCAGUUGAAAAGCCCAAGGCACAGAGAAAUCCAGCCAUUGGCUCAGGAUGGUUAGCAGAGCUGGGCCUUGAAACCAGCCUGAGUCCAGAGCCCCUACUCUUAGGUAUUGCUCUGCGGGGAGGGGCCGAGGCUGACGCACCCUGCCAGCCACAGAGGACACAAGCGGGGAGGAGACGGGAGGCCAGGCCUGCUCGUAGCUCAAAGCCCCACACCCCUUCCAGGCCUCUCCAGCUCCCGGCAGGGAUGGGCGUCUGCUCCUUGGCAGGUGAGAGCUCUGAGGAGCCCCCGGAAGUGCAGGUGAAUGGGGCUGCUGGGUAGCUGAGGGUGGUGUCCUCCCAGCCCCCCAGUCCCGGUCACCAUUCCCCCAGCCACGGCCUGUGGAUUGCUGCCUCUCUUGGAUGCCUGGCUCGCUGCUGUCUGGAGCCUAAUCCCCAUUCUGGUGGUUUUGGUUGCUAUGGUAAUUGAAUUCACUUAAAGUUGUCUCCAAGUGAGUCUGUCUCCCUUUCUGCCCGCAGCCUGGGAGGGCAGGAGCCCAGGGCUGAGGGCAGGAAGGAGGAGGCUUGGUGGCCUGGGGUCCUGUGUGUUUCUCCUCAUUCAGAUGUCCUCCUCAGGGGCCAGCAAAGGAGGACCAUGGAGAAGUGCUCCCUCCCAUCUCUCUCCAUCUUCCUCUCUGCCACCUUGCCCUCCUGCAGAGCGUGGAACUGUC